GUGGAUUAGAUACCCUGGUAGUCCGCACCGUAAACGAUGGAUACUAGGCGUUCGGAGAGUUAACCCUCUGAGUGCCAAAGUUCACACAUUAAGUAUCCCGCCUGGGAAGUACGGUCGCAAGACUAAAACUCAAAGGAAUUGACGGGGGCCCGCACAAGCGGUGGAGUAUGUGGUUUAAUUCGAAGCAACGCGCAGAACCUUACCUGGCCUUGACAUCGCGAGACCGGUGCAGAGAUGCAUCUUUCCCUUCGGGGACUCGUAGACAGGUGCUGCACGGUCGUCGCCAACU
rnacentral:rRNA from 1 species